rnacentral:rRNA from 1 species
UACGUAGGGUGCGAGCGUUGUCCGGAAUUACUGGGCGUAAAGCGCACGUAGGCGGCUUUGCAAGUUAGAGGUGAAAGCCCGGGGCUCAACUCCGGAAUUGCCUUUAAAACUGCAUCGCUAGAAUUGUGGAGAGGUAAGUGGAAUUCCGAGUGUAGAGGUGAAAUUCGUAGAUAUUCGGAAGAACACCAGUGGCGAAGGCGACUUACUGGACACAUAUUGACGCUGAAGUGCGAAAGCGUGGGGAGCAAACAGG